rnacentral:rRNA from 1 species
UACGUAGGGGGCUAGCGUUGUCCGGAAUCAUUGGGCGUAAAGCGCGUGUAGGCGGUCCGGUAAGUCCGCUGUGAAAGUCGGGGGCUCAACCCUCGGAUGCCGGUGGAUACUGUCGGGCUUGAGUACGGAAGAGGCGAGUGGAAUUCCUGGUGUAGCGGUGAAAUGCGCAGAUAUCAGGAGGAACACCGGUGGCGAAGGCGGCUCACUGGCCCGGUACUGACGCUGAGGUGCGAAAGCGUGGGGAGCAAACAGG